AUCUACUGCCAUACCACCCUGAAUGCGCCCAAUGUCAUUUGAUAUCAGAAGCUAAGCAGGGUCAGGCCUGGCUAGUACUUGAAUGGGAGAAAAUU
ensembl:rRNA 5S_rRNA 5S ribosomal RNA